rnacentral:rRNA from 1 species
AACGAACGCUGGCGGCAUGCCUAACACAUGCAAGUCGAACGAGACCUUCGGGUCUAGUGGCGCACGGGUGCGUAACGCGUGGGAACCUGCCCUUAGGUUCGGAAUAACUCCCCGAAAGGGGUGCUAAUACCGGAUAAUGUCUUCGGACCAAAGAUUUAUCGCCUUUGGAUGGGCCCGGGUUGGUUUAGCUAGUUGGUAGGGUAAAAGCCUACCAAGGCGACGAUCCAUAGCUGGUCUGGGAGGAUGAUCAUCCACACUGGGACUGAGACACGGCCCAGACUCCUACGGGAGGGAGCAGUGGGGAAUAUUGGACAAUGAGCGAAAGCCUGAUCCAGCAAUGCCGCGUGAGUGAUGAAGGCCUUAGGGUUGUAAAGCUCUUUUACCCGGGAUGAUAAUGACAGUACCGGGAGAAGAAGCUCCGGCUAACUCCGUG